rnacentral:rRNA from 1 species
UACGAAGGGGGCUAGCGUUGUUCGGAAUCACUGGGCGUAAAGCGCACGUAGGCGGAUCUUUAAGUCAGAGGUGAAAUCCCAAGGCUCAACCUUGGAACUGCCUUUGAUACUGGGGAUCUUGAGUCCGGGAGAGGUGAGUGGAACUGCGAGUGUAGAGGUGAAAUUCGUAGAUAUUCGCAAGAACACCAGUGGCGAAGGCGGCUCACUGGCCCGGUACUGACGCUGAGGUGCGAAAGCGUGGGGAGCAACAGG